ensembl:lncRNA
GUAAGAAAAUAAACACAAGCACACCCAUCACAUCUGGAGAGCAGCGUUGCUGAACAUUGAUCACUGCUCAACAAAGAUGCCUUCAGGCCAUUGACUAUUUGCACUGGCUGAUCUGGGCUCUGAGUUUCUGCAUCAGACGCAGUAGAAAGUGUGCAUGGUAAACAGAGCUGCGGUCCAGCGUCAGCAUCCCGUGGCUCAUUGUAUCCACAUCCUGCUCUAUACAAUCCCAGACGAUAUCGCCGAGGAAAGGCUGUGUGGCGUCUCCUCCUCUGCUGGCAGUCGGGCUCAAGUUUGUGGGAUGAAAAUAAUCCGGUGUCAUCCAGUGCAGGCCGUGGCCGAGUCAGAGAGGAUACGCGGUGCUGGGUGGAUUCACUGGAUGCUUGAGCUCAGCAGGAGCUUUGCCAGGAGAGCGUGUGUGUGGAAGAAGCUGUGGUUGCACUCUUGUGGUUGUGUAUAUGUGUGUUGGCUCUUGCUAAAAGCAUUCUGUGUCUGCGCAUUUAUGAGCGGCUUAGUGGCAAAUUGUCGAAAAAUUAAGCUUUGUGAUUUUAAAUACACAUAUGUUAAGGUACAAUAAAAUAUUAGCAUGCAUUAAAUUGGCACAUGUUUUAAAUAAACUUUUAAGGGAAC